AGCUUUAUAGUCAAUAUAUUUAUAUGAUAUAAAAUUGCAAAUUUUAAGUAGUUUUUACUAAAGCUU
rnacentral:tRNA from 1 species